rnacentral:rRNA from 1 species
AUGGCAGCCGCCGAGGAGCCCAGGGAGGUGAAGCUGUACGGCGCGUGGGGGAGCGCCCACGCCGCCAUGGCCCGGAACGCGCUGGAGCUCAAGGGCGUGCGCUACGAGUACGCGGACGAGGACCUGGAGCGCAAGAGCGAGGCGCUGCUGCGCCUGGACCCCGUCCACGGCGGCAAGGUCCCCGUGCUCGUCGUCGACGGCCGCGCCCUCGCCGAGUCGCUCGUCAUCCUCGAGUACGUCGACGAGGCGUGGCCCGGCCGUGCGUCGCGGCUGCUCCCGCCGCGGGACCGGCCCCGCGCGCGCGCCGCGGCCAGGUUCUGGGCGAGGUUCUUCCACGACGAGGUGUCGCCGCUCUCGCACCCCGUCUUGUUCGCGGCGGACGGGGAGGAGCGGGCGGGGCUGGUGAGGGAGAUGAAAGGGCGGAUGGCGGUGAUGGAGGCGGGAAUCCAGAGGGAGUUCCCGCUCGGCGGCGGAGGCGCGGGCGGGAGCCCGGGCUGCUCGACGUCGUUCUGGGCUCGUGCGCCGCCGGGACCAGGGUGCUCUCCUCCGUGGCCGGAGAAGAGAUCGUCGAGGCGGGCGCGCUUCCGCGCGUGCACGCCAGCCUGGUCGCCUUCGACGAGCUCGCCGCCGCGUUCGGGACGAGCGUGCCGCACGAGAGGAAUGAGAGGCGCGCGACGCGCCCGCGUGAGCUCUUCAUGCCGGCGUGACAACGACACGUAUGCUACGUGA